AAUAUUGGACAAUGGGCGAAAGCCUGAUCCAGCAAUGCCGCGUGAGUGAAGAAGGCCUUCGGGUUGUAAAGCUCUUUUACCCGGGAAGAUAAUGACUGUACCGGGAUAAUAAGCCCCGGCUACCUCCGUGCCAGCAGCCGCGGUAAUACGGAGGGGGCUAGCGUUGUUCGGAAUUACUGGGCGUAAAGCGCACGUAGGCGGUUUUUUAAGUCAGAGGUGAAAGCCCGGGGCUAAACUCCGGAAUUGCCUUUGAGACUGGAAGACUUGAACACGGGAGAGGUGAGUGGAAUUCCGAGUGUAGAGGUGAAAUUCGUAGAUAUUCGGAGGAACACCAGUGGCGAAGGCGGCUCACUGGACCGUUGUUGACGCUGAGGUGCGAAAGCGUGGGGAGCAAAC
rnacentral:rRNA from 1 species